rnacentral:rRNA from 1 species
CCCGGCGGCAAUAGCAAACGGGUACCACCUGAAUCCAUCUCGAACUCAGAAGUGAAAACGUUUCGCGCCGAUGAUAGUGCGGAGAAAUUCCGUGUGAAAGUAGGUACUGCCGGGC